UAGGGCGUUCCGAAAACCCUUUAAUAGAGUAGGAA
rfam:Fabibacter misakiensis strain SK-8 scaffold3_cov71_read188, whole genome shotgun sequence.